AGCAGCCGCGGUAAUUCCGGCUCCAAUAGCGUAUAUUAAAGUUGUUGCAGUUAAAAAGCUCGUAGUUGAAUUUCGGGGUUAGCAGGUCGGUCGUGCCAUCGGUAUGAACUGGUCUCGCUGAUCCCUCCCUCUUGACGAACUGUGAUGCCAUUAAUUUGGUGUCGCAGGGAAUCAGGACUGUUACUUUGAAAAAUUAGAGUGUUUAAAGCAGGCUCACGCUUGAAUACAUUAGCAUGGAAUAAUGAAAUAGGACGUUUGAUCCUAUUUUGUUGGCUUCUAGGAUUGACGUAAUGAUUAAUAGGGAUAGUUGGGGGCAUUAGUAUUCAAUUGUCAGAGGUGAAAUUCUUGGAUUUAUUGAAGACUAACUACUGCGAAAGCAUUUGCCAAGGAUGUUUUCAUUAAUCAAGAACGAAAGUUAGGGGAUCGAAGACGAUCAGAUACCGUCGUAGUCUUAACCAUAAACUAUGCCGACUAGGGAUCGGAUGAUGUUAAUUUUUAAUGACUCAUUC
rnacentral:misc_RNA from 1 species